GCCGCUAUAGCUCAGCUAGGUAGAGCAACGCACUUGUAAUGCGUAGGUCCUCCGUUCGAUUCGGAGUGGCGGCA
rnacentral:tRNA from 6 species